rnacentral:rRNA from 1 species
UACGAAGGGGGCUAGCGUUGCUCGGAAUCACUGGGCGUAAAGCGCACGUAGGCGGCUUUUUAAGUCAGGGGUGAAAUCCUGGAGCUCAACUCCAGAACUGCCUUUGAUACUGAGAAGCUCGAGUCCGGGAGAGGUGAGUGGAACUGCGAGUGUAGAGGUGAAAUUCGUAGAUAUUCGCAAGAACACCAGUGGCGAAGGCGGCUCACUGGCCCGGUACUGACGCUGAGGUGCGAAAGCGUGGGGAG